rnacentral:rRNA from 1 species
GCCGCCGCGGGAACACCGGCGGCCCGAGUGGUGAUCGUGAUAUUGGGUCUAAAGGGUCCGUAGCCGGUUUGGUCAGUCCUCCGGGAAAUCUGAUAGCUCAACUAUUAGGCUUUCGGGGGAUACUGCCAGACUUGGAACCGGGAGAGGUAAGAGGUACUACAGGGGUAGGAGUGAAAUCUUGUAAUCCCUGUGGGACCACCUGUGGCGAAGGCGUCUUACCAGAACGGGUUCGACGGUGAGGGACGAAAGCUGGGGGGCACGAACCGGAUUAGAUACCCGGGUAGUCCCAGCCGUAAACGAUGCUCGCUAGGUGUCAGGCAUGGCGCGACCGUGUCUGGUGCCGCAGGGAAGCCGUGAAGCGAGCCACCUGGGAAGUACGGCCGCAAGGCUGAAACUUAAAGGAAUUGGCGGGGGAGCACAACAACGGGUGGAGCCCUGCGGUUUAAUUGGACUCAACGCCGGACAACUCACCGGGGGCGACAGCAAUAUGUAGGCCAAGCUGAAGACUUUGCCUGAAUCGCUGAGAAGUGGUGCAUGG